GGCAAGAUGGCCGAGCGGUCGAAGGCGCUGCACUCAAGUACUCUGACUUGUUCCUGAACCACAGGAUCGGAAUUGCAGUCUCGAAAGGGGCGUGGGUUCGAAUCCCACUCUUGUCA